ensembl:snRNA U6 U6 spliceosomal RNA
GUGCUCACUUUAGUAGCACCUAUAUUAAAAUUAGAAUGAUACAGAGAAAAUUAGCAUGGCCCCUGUGAAAGGAUGACAUGCAAAUUCAUGAAGCGUUCUAUAUUUUU